rnacentral:rRNA from 5 species
UUAAGCGACUAAGCGUACACGGUGGAUGCCCUGGCAGUCAGAGGCGAUGAAGGACGUGCUAAUCUGCGAUAAGCGUCGGUGAGGUGAUAUGAACCGUUAUAACCGGCGAUUUCCGAAUGGGGAAACCCAGUGUGUUUCGACACACUAUCAUUAACUGAAUCCAUAGGUUAAUGAGGCGAACCGGGGGAACUGAAACAUCUAAGUACCCCGAGGAAAAGAAAUCAACCGAGAUUCCCCCAGUAGCGGCGAGCGAACGGGGAGGAGCCCAGAGCCUGAAUCAGUGUGUGUGUUAGUGGAAGCGUCUGGAAAGGCGCGCGAUACAGGGUGACAGCCCCGUACACAAAAAUGCACAUAUUGUGAGCUCGAUGAGUAGGGCGGGACACGUGGUAUCCUGUCUGAAUAUGGGGGGACCAUCCUCCAAGGCUAAAUACUCCUGACUGACCGAUAGUGAACCAGUACCGUGAGGGAAAGGCGAAAAGAACCCCGGCGAGGGGAGUGAAAAAGAACCUGAAACCGUGUACGUACAAGCAGUGGGAGCCUCUUUAUGGGGUGACUGCGUACCUUUUGUAUAAUGGGUCAGCGACUUAUAUUCUGUAGCAAGGUUAACCGAAUAGGGGAGCCGAAGGGAAACCGAGUCUUAACUGGGCGUUAAGUUGCAGGGUAUAGACCCGAAACCCGGUGAUCUAGCCAUGGGCAGGUUGAAGGUUGGGUAACACUAACUGGAGGACCGAACCGACUAAUGUUGAAAAAUUAGCGGAUGACUUGUGGCUGGGGGGGAAAGGCCAAUCAAACCGGGAGAUAGCUGGUUCUCCCCGAAAGCUAUUUAGGUAGCGCCUCGUGAAUUCAUCUCCGGGGGUAGAGCACUGUUUCGGCAAGGGGGUCAUCCCGACUUACCAACCCGAUGCAAACUGCGAAUACCGGAGAAUGUUAUCACGGGAGACACACGGCGGGUGCUAACGUCCGUCGUGAAGAGGGAAACAACCCAGACCGCCAGCUAAGGUCCCAAAGUCAUGGUUAAGUGGGAAACGAUGUGGGAAGGCCCAGACAGCCAGGAUGUUGGCUUAGAAGCAGCCAUCAUUUAAAGAAAGCGUAAUAGCUCACUGGUCGAGUCGGCCUGCGCGGAAGAUGUAACGGGGCUAAACCAUGCACCGAAGCUGCGGCAGCGACACUAUGUGUUGUUGGGUAGGGGAGCGUUCUGUAAGCCUGUGAAGGUGGCCUGUGAGGGUUGCUGGAGGUAUCAGAAGUGCGAAUGCUGACAUAAGUAACGAUAAAGCGGGUGAAAAGCCCGCUCGCCGGAAGACCAAGGGUUCCUGUCCAACGUUAAUCGGGGCAGGGUGAGUCGACCCCUAAGGCGAGGCCGAAAGGCGUAGUCGAUGGGAAACAGGUUAAUAUUCCUGUACUUGGUGUUACUGCGAAGGGGGGACGGAGAAGGCUAUGUUGGCCGGGCGACGGUUGUCCCGGUUUAAGCGUGUAGGCUGGUUUUCCAGGCAAAUCCGGAAAACCAAGGCUGAGGCGUGAUGACGAGGCACUACGGUGCUGAAGCGACAAAUGCCCUGCUUCCAGGAAAAGCCUCUAAGCAUCAGGUAACAUCAAAUCGUACCCCAAACCGACACAGGUGGUCAGGUAGAGAAUACCAAGGCGCUUGAGAGAACUCGGGUGAAGGAACUAGGCAAAAUGGUGCCGUAACUUCGGGAGAAGGCACGCUGAUAUGUAGGUGAAGCGACUUGCUCGUGGAGCUGAAAUCAGUCGAAGAUACCAGCUGGCUGCAACUGUUUAUUAAAAACACAGCACUGUGCAAACACGAAAGUGGACGUAUACGGUGUGACGCCUGCCCGGUGCCGGAAGGUUAAUUGAUGGGGUUAGCGGUAACGCGAAGCUCUUGAUCGAAGCCCCGGUAAACGGCGGCCGUAACUAUAACGGUCCUAAGGUAGCGAAAUUCCUUGUCGGGUAAGUUCCGACCUGCACGAAUGGCGUAAUGAUGGCCAGGCUGUCUCCACCCGAGACUCAGUGAAAUUGAACUCGCUGUGAAGAUGCAGUGUACCCGCGGCAAGACGGAAAGACCCCGUGAACCUUUACUAUAGCUUGACACUGAACAUUGAGCCUUGAUGUGUAGGAUAGGUGGGAGGCUUUGAAGUGUGGACGCCAGUCUGCAUGGAGCCGACCUUGAAAUACCACCCUUUAAUGUUUGAUGUUCUAACGUUGGCCCGUAAUCCGGGUUGCGGACAGUGUCUGGUGGGUAGUUUGACUGGGGCGGUCUCCUCCUAAAGAGUAACGGAGGAGCACGAAGGUUGGCUAAUCCUGGUCGGACAUCAGGAGGUUAGUGCAAUGGCAUAAGCCAGCUUGACUGCGAGCGUGACGGCGCGAGCAGGUGCGAAAGCAGGUCAUAGUGAUCCGGUGGUUCUGAAUGGAAGGGCCAUCGCUCAACGGAUAAAAGGUACUCCGGGGAUAACAGGCUGAUACCGCCCAAGAGUUCAUAUCGACGGCGGUGUUUGGCACCUCGAUGUCGGCUCAUCACAUCCUGGGGCUGAAGUAGGUCCCAAGGGUAUGGCUGUUCGCCAUUUAAAGUGGUACGCGAGCUGGGUUUAGAACGUCGUGAGACAGUUCGGUCCCUAUCUGCCGUGGGCGCUGGAGAACUGAGGGGGGCUGCUCCUAGUACGAGAGGACCGGAGUGGACGCAUCACUGGUGUUCGGGUUGUCAUGCCAAUGGCACUGCCCGGUAGCUAAAUGCGGAAGAGAUAAGUGCUGAAAGCAUCUAAGCACGAAACUUGCCCCGAGAUGAGUUCUCCCUGAGACUUAGAGUCUCCUGAAGGAACGUUGAAGACGACGACGUUGAUAGGCCGGGUGUGUAAGCGCAGCGAUGCGUUGAGCUAACCGGUACUAAUGAACCGUGAGGCUUAACCUU